rnacentral:ncRNA from 1 species
CAGAGUAGGUGUCUGUGCGUGAAGUGCCGGGCGGACGGGGAGUUGCCGCCAGGACGAAAAGCGUUUGCUUGCGGUACAGGCCCCGCAUCCCGCUG